rnacentral:piRNA from 1 species
UGAACUUGUAGAAAGCCUCUGUUUGCAAAU